AUUGAACGCUGGCGGCAGGCCUAACACAUGCAAGUCGAGCGGAGCGGCGGACGGGUGAGUGAUGCCUAGGAAUCUGCCUGGUCGUGAGGGAUAACGUCCGGAAACGGGCGCUAAUACCGCAUACUCUCAGCUGCGGCUAGGGGGGAGUAGCUAGGUGGUGGGGUAAAGGCCUACAAGGGCGUCGAUCCGUAACUGGUCUGGGAGGAUGAUCAGUCACACUGGAACUGAGACACGGUCCAGACUCCUACGGGAGGCAGCAGUGGGGAAUAUUGGACAAUGGGCGAAAGCCGGAUCCAGCCAUGCCGCGUGUGUGAAGAAGGUCUUCGGGUUGUAAAGCACUUUAAGUUGGGAGGCGUUACCAACAGAAUAAGCACCGGCUAACUUCGUGCCAGCAGCCGCGGUAAUAC
rnacentral:rRNA from 1 species